UACGUAGGGUGCAAGCGUUGUCCGGAAUUAUUGGGCGUAAAGAGCUCGUUGGCGGUCUGUCGCGUCUGCUGUGAAAACUCAGGGCUUAACCCUGAGCUUGCAGUGGGUACGGGCAGACUAGAGUGCGGUAGGGGAGACUGGAAUUCCUGGUGUAGCGGUGAAAUGCGCAGAUAUCAGGAGGAACACCGGUGGCGAAGGCGGGUCUCUGGGCCGUAACUGACGCUGAGGAGCGAAAGCAUGGGGAGCGAACAGG
rnacentral:rRNA from 1 species